UCUGGCUCCAGCUCUGCCUCACACCCGGGACACGCCACCCAGUGGUCUGCGUUCCAAGUCCCGCCUCCGGCCCCCGCCUGCCCUGAAGUUGGGGUGGGGGGGGGGGCUCCCGGGACCCUGCCUGCACCCUGAGGCCUGCGUCCUCUCUUUAUGGCCCGAGGCCAGGCGGCCGGGACACCCGGUGCGGUGAGGCCGUAGCUCUGUCCCGCUCUGUGUCCCGAGGAGACUGGAAUGCUGUGUGGCUGUGCACCUGCAGGGGCAUGGGCUCAGCGAGGCGCCUUCCGCAGUGAGACGACGCAGGACAGCCGUCUGCUCAGGUGUGGUGCGGCCUAUGCCGGGAAGGGAGGGGGAGCCCCACAGCCCCUUCUGCUCUCUGCUCUCCCACCCCAAGGCGGCGGGCGGCCCGGGGUCUCCCGGGAGCUCUGGCUCACCUCUCUUGCUCCCUCCCUCAAGCGGCAGCCACGCGGCACAGACCCGCCUCUUCCUCUCUGCCUCCAGAUGCCCCUCCUCCCACCAUGGACUCGAGGGGCCGGGUGGUGGGUGCGGCCCCACCCCCAAAGGCCCACCAGCCCGCCUGAGGUCAGGGCCCACGUGGAGCGGCCCACACGCAGCCCCAAACCACAACCCACUUCGGGUCCCUGCUGUAGACAGUGUGAAUGCCAGGACGGCCAAUGAUGAUGUCUGGUCGGGCCAGGGAGGAGUCCCUCACACCCGGUGUGAAUAAGCAGCCCCCGGCAUCACCGGGGCCGACAGGAGAUGCUGCUCCAGCCCACGUCAGCCUGGCCUUUGGGACAGCAGGUGCUUUGGGGUCAGCAGGCCCCACGACCAGUCCUGCCCCGCCCCUCUAUCCACUACACGAAAGCCCAGCAUCGAGACCCUCACAGACCCCCACGCAGGCAAGCCAUGUGGGGGAAAGACGGGAGAUGCUGGAAGGGGUGUGGGACAGCCUGCGGGACUCGCUGAGUGGAUGACCCGGGCAGGGAAGGCAGACCAGGGCCUGGAUGGCCCUGGUGGUCACCUGCCCACUCCUUCCCUCCAAACUCUCCUCCCACAGGGUCCUGGGCCCCGUCCUGCCAGAAACCGGCACCCCCCGGGGAAGCCAAGGGCGGAGUGGAUCGGGAGGAGGCCCUGGAUGCCCCCACUUAGGGAGACAUUCCCCUGCAGACACCACAGCUGCGGUGGGCGGCGGCCGCAGGCCCCCAGGCUGUUCUGGCCCACCCGCUCCCCGCCCCCCCCAGGGGUCACACGGGCAGGCUGCCACCCAAAUGAGGGGACAAGGGCCUCCCACCCAGGGCGCCCGGCAUGGAGACUAGCCAGCUUCAUGACUCCAGAAGGGUGUGGGGCCUUUCCCCCUCAGGACACAUUUCAGCAGCAAUUUGUUUAUGCAAAUUGACCUUAAUUCCAUAUUAGCUCAGACUCUGCUCAUAAUGUUAUUACCACCGAGCGUCCACACUGCACCCCGCUGGCAAAUCUGGGGCUGUGAGUGCCGGUGCCUGCCAGCAGCAGGAGGGCAGGGCGUGAGGAGGGUGGGCCUGGCCGUGGGCACCACCACCACCACCACCACCACCGGCAGCGGGGACCUGCCAAAGCCUCUGAGGACACGUUAGACGGAUCCUGUGCGCAAGCGAGCCGAGCUCAGGAGACCCACAGCUUCAGUGUGAGGACAGGCCAGGCAGCGAGGGCCGAGGACACCGCAGCCCGACGGCACUUAACCCAGUUUCCCUUAAUUAAAACUCAAGUUCGCAGACACCAAUCUUGGGAAAAAGUCCCGCCAAGGGACCGCGGCCGGAAUGGCUCAUGCCAUGCGUGCCCUACAGGCCCCAGCUGUCCCUGCACAGGGUAUAUCUUGGCAGAA